rnacentral:rRNA from 1 species
AGUUAGCGGCGGACGGGUGAGUAACACGUGGGUAACCUGCCCAUAAGACUGGGAUAACUCCGGGAAACCGGGGCUAAUACCGGAUAACAUUUUGCGCCUCAUGGCGCGAAAUUGAAAGGCGGCUUCGGCUGUCACUUAUGGAUGGACCCGCGUCGCAUUAGCUAGUUGGUGAGGUAACGGCUCACCAAGGCGACGAUGCGUAGCCGACCUGAGAGGGUGAUCGGCCACACUGGGACUGAGACACGGCCCAGACUCCUACGGGAGGCAGCAGUAGGGAAUCUUCCGCAAUGGACGAAAGUCUGACGGAGCAACGCCGCGUGAGUGAUGAAGGCUUUCGGGUCGUAAAACUCUGUUGUUAGGGAAGAACAAGUGCUAGUUGAAUAAGCUGGCACCUUGACGGUACCUAACCAGAAAGCCACGGCUAACUACGUGCCAGCAGCCGCGGUAAUACGUAGGUGGCAAGCGUUAUCCGGAAUUAUUGGGCGUAAAGCGCGCGCAGGUGGUUUCUUAAGUCUGAUGUGAAAGCCCACGGCUCAACCGUGGAGGGUCAUUGGAAACUGGGAGAACUUGAGUGCAGAAGAAGGAAAGUGGAAUUCCAUGGUGUAGCGGUGAAAAUGCGUAAAGAUUUGGAGGAAACC